CCGUUUAGAAUCCUCAGUUCCGGCCUGUUUCUUCUUUUUUGCCUGUUCUAUACUGCCUCGUGGUCGUGGUGGAUGCGGUUUAUCCCGUUUUACAUCCCGACAAGUGGACUGUUCCCAACCGCACCUCCCUCUUCUAAAAAAUCCUCAGGAGCUCAAGAUCCAAAUCUUGUAGGAGCAGCCGACCAAGCACUGAUCUCUCUCCUGAACAGCCUCUCCCCAAGCCGCGUGUAGCAGAAGCUUCCGGCGGUGCUGGCCUGGAUCGUGGUGGUGUAGGAGGAGGAGCGGCAGGAGCUCCUCAUCUUCACCAACGCUCGCAACUGCAGGUCCCAUGGAAACAGGCUCUGGUAGAACACUCCACCGUCUGAUGCAUCCGUCGCCGCCCUCAGAUCCCGCGGCGCCUCGGCGAGGUCUAGGUGACCCUAUGCGCUCCCCUCGUCGAGCCCAGAAAACAGCGGGACCCAGGUCGGGAUAGAGGGCUGCCGUUCGGCUGGAGACCUACGUUGGAGUCUUGAGCCAGGGAAUAGCUGCAUCUAGCACCGAUGCUGUGACGGACAACCUGCACAUCAACGGGUAACGCACGACAUCAGUAGCAACCUUGAUGUGUCUCCUGAUGCAUGUGUUUUUUUAUGUGAUCGAUCUUUUUCUCUAGUGGCUACUGAACUCGAUGGGCUUGAUUGUUCUUUUGUCAAGUUCGUGAGAACAGAUAUAAGAGAUUAAUAUGGCAUAGAUGAAUAAAACAAGCCUGUUCUUGGUUGCUAUUCUUGUCAACGUGUUGCCUUCUUAAAAUUUGGUUAGAAUUUAGUUGCGCUAAGACUUCUCUGCAAUACUACUUAUGAGUUGAGUUGGUCUUUUCAGUUGCAAAAUCGAGUAUGAUGAACUAUUGUGGCAUUUAAUUAGCUCCCUGUUAUUUUUUUUUGUUUGAACCUUUACUUGUAUGCUGAUUAUGAAGCCGAAAGCCAAAAGCGAAUGCGGCGUCACGUACGAGUCAUACUUCCCAUGCCUGCCGCUAGCAAGGACAAGUUGUGGUACUCCAUCGAGUAAGGGAGCGUCCACUUACUCGUGAUGUCCACCGAGCAUCCAUGGUCGGAGAAGUCAGAGCAAUACAAUUGGAUGGAAAGAAGAUUUGUCAUCGGUUGAUAGAACGAAAUCGCGGCGGGUAAUCUUCAUCGGGUGAGCUGAACACUCUUUCGGUCUUUCCUCUUCUGACAUUGAAGUCACAGAAUUGGUCUUUCGGUUACCAAAACGGCAUCGACCAAUGUAUUCAUCGAAUCUAGGUAUACUGACCAGCGUGAACCUGAACUUUGUCGACCCCAUUGAGCCACUCUUGCUCAAGAACAAGGUGGAUUUGGUUUUCUUUGCCCAUGUGCACAACUACAAGAGGACCUGUUAUAUACUGUUCGUUGACAACCAACCCCGUCUUGCUGUCCAAUACUCAGCGGCAGAGCUGGAGCAUAUCAAGAAUUUCAGAAUUUGGCUAUGCCAGGGUGCAUGCCUCAAAGACCGACUUCUUGGUUCAUGUUAGUUUUAGCUUUCCUUUUAAUGUCAGUUUGCUUGAACAUUUAUUGUUUCAAUGUCAGUUUGCUUGAACAUGCUAGAAAUAUCUCUGUUCAGAUUUGACAGCUAAAGAUUCAGUUCAUUGUUAAAUUCGAAAUAUGUCGGCGGACCCUUUUCAUAUCGAAAUUAUUAUAUCAAGGACCUAGAGUAUCUGGUGCAGCAGCAGACUAUCCGAUACAUUAAUUGAACCUAGAGUAUGGAAAAUACCAUUGUCGUUGACACAGUUUUUUCAAUGCUGAGACUAGUUUAGUGUCAGUGAUCCAUUCCAUCACUCUGUAACUGUCUUACAUUCUCUUGCAGUUCCUUAGAUUAAUGUGCCAUUUUCUUCCGUCUAUUUUUUGCUUUGGAUUCUGGUAGUGUCAACAAUUGCUGGAUGAUCCCCACUAGGCGUAUGUUCCUACAAGGGGACCAACACUAUUUAAUUUGUGUUGGCACAACUUCAAAAGUAAUCAUUCAGAUUUCCUCAAGGGAGUACAAAAUUAGUGUAAGGAAAUUAUAACAAGCACUGGUUUUGUUGAAACAAGCACCGUAUGAGAUUGUACCGAGCACCCUUUCGUGAUGGGCUCCUUUCUGUUUCCAAAUUAUUCAAUAGGCCCCAAAUGAUACCAAAUGGUCCAAAUAAUUGCCGAGCAUAUUGCUAUUGCGCGCAAAGGCGAUGCACCACAUCUCCCAUUUUAAUCAAAGUUUGUCACUUUAAAGAGGGCACCCAUUAGAUAUGUGCCAAGCACCGUUCAAGCCAAUGAACAGGCUCCUUUUGUUUGGGUUGUUGGCUCUUUUUUAUAAAUUGGAUACGAAUCCUUGAAUCUUUUCCUUUUGUUUGGGUGUUCCUUUUAUAGAAUCAUAACCAAUGACCGAAUAAUCUCACAUUGCUUGUGUUCCACAUAUACUGUAUAUGGUUUUAGGGUUUGAACCUAUGUAUAAUUGACUCACGAAUAUCCUUCCACAUUAAUGCCCAGUUAUAAAUUUAAUCUAAAAUGGGCUCCUUUGUGUUUCCAAAUUAUUUAAUAGGCCCCAAAUGAUACCAAAUGGUCCAAAUAAUCUCAGGAGGAUCUUGUAAACAAGCCACCGUAUUGCUAUUGCGCGCAAAGGCGAUGCACCACAUCUCCCAGAUUUAAUCUAAGUUUGUCACUUUAGGGUCUGUUCGGUUGCAGAAUAUGGGGGAAUAGAAUGGAACGGUUCCGUUCCUUUGAGCCAUUCUCGUGUUCGGUUUCGUGAUGGAAUGGGAUGGGCUGGUUCCUCAGAUGGGAAUAUUCGCUAUAGAUGCGGGAUGCACCCAUCCGGCCAAAUCGGCCGGACGAGGUGGAACGAGCGAGAACGAGGCCGAUUAAAAAAAAGAAAAACCAAUCUUAUCUUCCCGUCACCGCUCAUUCUCUCGACCCCGUCUCCUCCUCUCGCGACCGAGCCGCGCCUGCGCCUCCACCCCCGCACCCGCAGUGCCCCCGCCGGUGCCGCCACCUCCACGCCCGCCGGCGCCGCCACGUCCACCUCCGCCGGCGCCGCCACGUCCACCCCCGCCGCCGUCGCCACACAUCGGUCCCCGCCGGCGCCGCGACCCUCCACCCCCGCCGGCGCCGCGACCUCCACCCGCGCCGGCGCCGCCACCUCCACCCUCGCCGGCGCCGGCCGCCUCGGCUCCAACGGCAGAUGGGCAAAAGCAUGGAUAAAAGGAAAAGGCUGAUUAGGGGAGCUGCUGUUUUUGUGGUUUGGGCUGCGAUUGUUGUAGCUGUUCGGGUCUUAAAAAGAAAGAGAAGACCACGUAUUUCCUAUGGGCCAAUGCAUGAAAGAGAUCGGAUGAGAAUUGAGUAUCUCACUAGUAAAAUAUGGCACUCGGAUGUGACUUGUA